rnacentral:rRNA from 1 species
GGUUAAGCGACUAAGCGUACACGGUGGAUGCCCUGGCAGUCAGAGGCGAUGAAGGACGUGCUAAUCUGCGAUAAGCGUCGGUAAGGUGAUAUGAACCGUUAUAACCGGCGAUUUCCGAAUGGGGAAACCCAGUGUGUUUCGACACACUAUCAUUAACUGAAUACAUAGGUUAAUGAGGCGAACCGGGGGAACUGAAACAUCUAAGUACCCCGAGGAAAAGAAAUCAACCGAGAUUCCCCCAGUAGCGGCGAGCGAACGGGGAGCAGCCCAGAGCCUGAAUCAGUGUGUGUGUUAGUGGAAGCGUCUGGAAAGGCGCGCGAUACAGGGUGACAGCCCCGUACACAAAAAUGCACAUGCUGUGAGCUCGAUGAGUAGGGCGGGACACGUGGUAUCCUGUCUGAAUAUGGGGGGACCAUCCUCCAAGGCUAAAUACUCCUGACUGACCGAUAGUGAACCAGUACCGUGAGGGAAAGGCGAAAAGAACCCCGGCGAGGGGAGUGAAAAAGAACCUGAAACCGUGUACGUACAAGCAGUGGGAGCACGCUUAGGCGUGUGACUGCGUACCUUUUGUAUAAUGGGUCAGCGACUUAUAUUCUGUAGCAAGGUUAACCGAAUAGGGGAGCCGAAGGGAAACCGAGUCUUAACUGGGCGUUAAGUUGCAGGGUAUAGACCCGAAACCCGGUGAUCUAGCCAUGGGCAGGUUGAAGGUUGGGUAACACUAACUGGAGGACCGAACCGACUAAUGUUGAAAAAUUAGCGGAUGACUUGUGGCUGGGGGUGAAAGGCCAAUCAAACCGGGAGAUAGCUGGUUCUCCCCGAAAGCUAUUUAGGUAGCGCCUCGUGAAUUCAUCUCCGGGGGUAGAGCACUGUUUCGGCAAGGGGGUCAUCCCGACUUACCAACCCGAUGCAAACUGCGAAUACCGGAGAAUGUUAUCACGGGAGACACACGGCGGGUGCUAACGUCCGUCGUGAAGAGGGAAACAACCCAGACCGCCAGCUAAGGUCCCAAAGUCAUGGUUAAGUGGGAAACGAUGUGGGAAGGCCCAGACAGCCAGGAUGUUGGCUUAGAAGCAGCCAUCAUUUAAAGAAAGCGUAAUAGCUCACUGGUCGAGUCGGCCUGCGCGGAAGAUGUAACGGGGCUAAACCAUGCACCGAAGCUGCGGCAGCGACGCUGAUGCGUUGUUGGGUAGGGGAGCGUUCUGUAAGCCUGCGAAGGUGUGCUGUGAGGCAUGCUGGAGGUAUCAGAAGUGCGAAUGCUGACAUAAGUAACGAUAAAGCGGGUGAAAAGCCCGCUCGCCGGAAGACCAAGGGUUCCUGUCCAACGUUAAUCGGGGCAGGGUGAGUCGACCCCUAAGGCGAGGCCGAAAGGCGUAGUCGAUGGGAAACAGGUUAAUAUUCCUGUACUUGGUGUUACUGCGAAGGGGGGACGGAGAAGGCUAUGUUGGCCGGGCGACGGUUGUCCCGGUUUAAGCGUGUAGGCUGGUUUUCCAGGCAAAUCCGGAAAAUCAAGGCUGAGGCGUGAUGACGAGGCACUACGGUGCUGAAGCAACAAAUGCCCUGCUUCCAGGAAAAGCCUCUAAGCAUCAGGUAACAUCAAAUCGUACCCCAAACCGACACAGGUGGUCAGGUAGAGAAUACCAAGGCGCUUGAGAGAACUCGGGUGAAGGAACUAGGCAAAAUGGAUGCCGUAACUUCGGGAGAAGGCACGCUGAUAUGUAGGUGAAGUCCCUCGCGGAUGGAGCUGAAAUCAGUCGAAGAUACCAGCUGGCUGCAACUGUUUAUUAAAAACACAGCACUGUGCAAACACGAAAGUGGACGUAUACGGUGUGACGCCUGCCCGGUGCCGGAAGGUUAAUUGAUGGGGUUAGCCGCAAGGCGAAGCUCUUGAUCGAAGCCCCGGUAAACGGCGGCCGUAACUAUAACGGUCCUAAGGUAGCGAAAUUCCUUGUCGGGUAAGUUCCGACCUGCACGAAUGGCGUAAUGAUGGCCAGGCUGUCUCCACCCGAGACUCAGUGAAAUUGAACUCGCUGUGAAGAUGCAGUGUACCCGCGGCAAGACGGAAAGACCCCGUGAACCUUUACUAUAGCUUGACACUGAACAUUGAGCCUUGAUGUGUAGGAUAGGUGGGAGGCUUAGAAGUGUGGACGCCAGUCUGCAUGGAGCCGACCUUGAAAUACCACCCUUUAAUGUUUGAUGUUCUAACGUGGACCCGUAAUCCGGGUUGCGGACAGUGUCUGGUGGGUAGUUUGACUGGGGCGGUCUCCUCCUAAAGAGUAACGGAGGAGCACGAAGGUUGGCUAAUCCUGGUCGGACAUCAGGAGGUUAGUGCAAUGGCAUAAGCCAGCUUGACUGCGAGCGUGACGGCGCGAGCAGGUGCGAAAGCAGGUCAUAGUGAUCCGGUGGUUCUGAAUGGAAGGGCCAUCGCUCAACGGAUAAAAGGUACUCCGGGGAUAACAGGCUGAUACCGCCCAAGAGUUCAUAUCGACGGCGGUGUUUGGCACCUCGAUGUCGGCUCAUCACAUCCUGGGGCUGAAGUAGGUCCCAAGGGUAUGGCUGUUCGCCAUUUAAAGUGGUACGCGAGCUGGGUUUAGAACGUCGUGAGACAGUUCGGUCCCUAUCUGCCGUGGGCGCUGGAGAACUGAGGGGGGCUGCUCCUAGUACGAGAGGACCGGAGUGGACGCAUCACUGGUGUUCGGGUUGUCAUGCCAAUGGCACUGCCCGGUAGCUAAAUGCGGAAGAGAUAAGUGCUGAAAGCAUCUAAGCACGAAACUUGCCCCGAGAUGAGUUCUCCCUGACUCCUUGAGAGUCCUGAAGGAACGUUGAAGACGACGACGUUGAUAGGCCGGGUGUGUAAGCGCAGCGAUGCGUUGAGCUAACCGGUACUAAUGAACCGUGAGGCUUAACCUU